rnacentral:rRNA from 1 species
AUGAAUGUUUCGCUUGAUGCCUCGGUUGGUACGGAUCAAACGGAAGAGAAGUUUUGGGGUAGGAUUGGAGACUACUAUUGCAACAAUGUGACCAACCAUUCCCGAUGCACUCAAGGCUCCCUUUCCCACCGGUGCAGUGUGAUCCAAGAGCAAUGCGACCGAUGGUCCAGUUGUGUUGAUCAAGCCAACCAUGCACCACCGAGUAGGGUGCCAAUCACAGACUAUGGGCCUCUCAUCCAAGAGCUAUACAAACAAUGCAACAAAAAGGGUGGCAGCAAGGUAUUUACAUUGAACCGUUGCUACAAGGAACUAGUUGGCAAUGAGAAGUGGAUCCAGAGGAACUUCGAAACCACACCGAAGAGGUCACAAAUUAGCAUAUCCGUUGAAGCCGAUGACGAGGAGGAUGAAAAUCCUCACAAAAGGACGGAUGGGCAAAAGACUGCAAGAGAGAGGAAGAAGAAUGGAGGCGUUGGCGCCAACAAAGAGGAGCUUUGUGAUGCGAUUGAGACCAAGAAAGCUUUGGCGGCCGAACACAAAGCAGAAAAGGCAGGGAGGUGGAACAAGCUCAAGUUCAUGGAGGAUGAGAAGUGGUGA